AAACUAAUAAAUUAGUUUAAUCAAAACAACAAUCUGUGGAAUUGUAUAUUCUAUAUAAAA
rnacentral:tRNA from 1 species